rnacentral:rRNA from 1 species
GAUCAUGGCUCAGGAUGAACGCUAGCGGCAGGCUUAACACAUGCAGGUCGAGGGGCAGCAUGAGGAGUCAGCAAUGACACCUUGAUGGCGACCGGCGCAAGGGUGCGUAACGCGUGAGCAACCUGCCCGUCACGGGGGGAUAACCGGUGGAAACGCCGACUAAUAUCCCAUGGUUUCCGUUGGGGGCAUCCCCGGCGGAAUAAAGGCUUCGGCCGGUGACGGAUGGGCUCGCGUGACAUUAGG